UGGGGAAUAUUGCACAAUGGAGGGAACUCUGAUGCAGCGACGCCGCGUGAACGAAGAAGGCUUUCGAGUCGUAAAGUUCUUUUAUAUGGGAAGAUAAUGACGGUACCAUAAGAAAAAGCCCCGGCUAACUACGUGCCAGCAGCCGCGGUAAUACGUAGGGGGCUAGCGUUGUCCGGAAUCACUGGGCGUAAAGGGUUCGCAGGCGGAAAUGCAAGUCAGGUGUAAAAGGCAGUAGCUUAACUACUGUAAGCAUUUGAAACUGCAUAUCUUGAGAAGAGUAGAGGUAAGUGGAAUUUUUAGUGUAGCGGUGAAAUGCGUAGAUAUUAAAAAGAAUACCGGUGGCGAAGGCGGCCUUCUGGGCCACGACUGACGCUGAGGCGCGAAAGCUAGGGGAGCGAACAGG
rnacentral:rRNA from 1 species